rnacentral:lncRNA from 1 species
UGCUGGAAGAAGAUGGCGGAGGAGGCGCUGGUGGCCAGCGGCGUGCCGUACACGAUCGUGCGGCCGGGGGGCAUGGAGAGGCCGACGGACGCGUACAAGGAGACGCACAACCUGGUGGUGUCGCCGCGGGACACGUACGUCGGCGGCCUGGUGUCCAACCUGCAGGUCGCGGAGCUGAUCGCGUGCGUGGCCAAGAACAGGAGGGCGGCCUACUGCAAGGUGGUGGAGCUCGUGGCCGAGACCACCGCGCCGCUGCUGCCCACGGAGGACCUCCUCGCCAGAGUCCCCUCCGACCCCGGCAGGGCACCGCCCCCGGCGAAGGAGUCGCCUCCCGCAGCAGCGGCGGCACCAGCACCAGUUGCAGCACCUCCAGCACCGGCACCGGCACCGGCACCAGCAGCACCUCCAACACCGGCACCGGCACCAGCACCAGCUGCAGCCCCUCCAGCACCGGCGCCGGCACCUGCACCAGCUGCAGCAGCAAAAACAGAGCGGCCGCUC